rnacentral:rRNA from 1 species
UACAGAGGUCCCAAGCGUUGUUCGGAUUCAUUGGGCGUAAAGAGCGUGUAGGCGGCUUUACAGGUCCGUUGUGAAAACUCGAGGCUCAACCUCGAGACGCCGGUGGAAACCGUAAGGCUAGAGUCCGGAAGAGGAGAGUGGAAUUCCUGGUGUAGCGGUGAAAUGCGCAGAUAUCAGGAGGAACACCCGUGGCGAAAGCGGCUCUCUGGGACGGUACUGACGCUGAGACGCGAAAGCGUGGGGAGCGAACAGG